CCUCCUCCCGUCGCUUCUUGUCUGCUGCCAAUUCUAACAUCAUCAUCGUCUCUCCCGCCUUCCAAGGAGUCCUGUACUCACCUGCGUUCGUCGGGCUCUUUGUCACGGAGCUCACGCUCGUGCUCUCUCUGUGUUUUUUGGUACAUCGGAACAUAGGAGAGAAAAAAAAUUAAAACGGGACUACGUCCUCAUCCUAGCGCGCAGCACCGCCGACGACGAUUCGGGGCUCAAAAGCUUUAUGUAAGAUGCUUGCUGAAGGAAGCAACCGCACUCGAGUUUCAGCAGCGAUAGCCCCUCGCAAAAUCAAUGUGCAGAAAUAUGCAGAAUCCCGAGCUCUUGAGCUUAAAAGUCUUAACUCCAUUAUAGCCAAUCGAGUAAAUAGUGAUUUUAGGUCCCAAAGAAACAAGAGAAGAAGAACAACUGCAUAUGAUAACCAAAAUGCCAGAGAACGGUGUAGAAGGAAAGAAGAAGAAAGCGGGGAAUAUUUGAUGAAAGCAAUUCUUCUGUUUUGGAGAAGGACCAGAUAAAUAAGCUUCCAAGGCGUGUUCGACGGAGACUGGAACUUAAAAUGAACCCAGAGAAUGGCUUUUGCAGUUCAGGUGACGGAACUAGGAGGCUGAGAACUCAUGUUUGGCAUGCUAAGCGGUUCACCAUGACCAGGCUUUGGGGCUACCACCUUCCUCUAGGUCUGCAAGGCAGGCAGGGGAAGGGGUUCAAGGGCACUUUUGAAAAGGCUUAAACAAGGGGUGCUUGUACAUGAUGCAAGCUAUUGUACUGCCCUCCAGCUGGAGGGUCCAGAGGAUUCCUUGAUUUCAGUAUUAAGAAUGGUACUAGUGCCUUCCCCAGAUACCGAUGAUGGAAAUAAUGAUGAUUCUGUUCUUUCUGGUCUCUCCUAUGGGACUGCUAUGCUCUGUGGAGUGGGAGAACCUUCUCAUGUGAUAGCUCCUGUGACUUAUAUGUGGCGACCAGUUCCAAUCAAGAUGUGAGUUUAGAGCUUGAUGUAGAGCAUAGGACUUCCUUUAGACAGCAUGAUAUGAGUGAUCAAACAAGUAAACGUGAGAUUGAUGAAUGUGAAAAGUCUGACAGUAUGAGACCUAGUGCUUCCUUUAGACAGCUUUGGGUGUGGAUACAUGCUUCUGCCUUUGAAGAAGGAUAUGAUAUGCUAAAGCUGGCAUGCCAUAAAGAGAUGGAAAAAGAUGGCAUUGUGAUCAAGUAUGUUUCUCUUGAUGGCCAACUUGCCAAAUUAGAAUUAAUGGGAUCAAAGUCAUUUCAACUUCUUCAAAAGAUAUUGCAUCCUGUUACAGGAAUUUCAGAGAAACAUUGGCAGUUGAAAAAAACAUUUGGCUACAGAGGAGGGUUCUAUUUCUCAGAAUAACAAAUCACCUAUAUUUGAAAGUGAGGAUAAUUUUUCUUAUCAUGCAAUGUUAUCUCUUAAUGUUAAGGAUCCUCGAUUAUUGCCCAAGAAAAGUACCACAGUCCCACUGGAGCCAACUUUGAUUGAGGCAUUGUGUGAUAAGCCACAAG